rnacentral:tRNA from 1 species
GGAAAAGUUAGCCGAGUUGGCCUAGCGGCAGCGGUCUUGAAAACCGAAGGCUCCGAAAGGGGUGUGUGAGUUCGAGUCUCACCUUUUCCGCCA